CAGGUGUCAAGCCAGGAAUGGCCAAGGCCAGCUAGAGGAGACCUGGAGGCCGGGGGUGUUGGUGCGAGCUUGUACUUGGAUGCAGGGUCCUGGGACAACACCAGUCCCCCUACCCCGAAGCUGAGACUCAAGGUCCCGAGAAAUGUCCAGUCAGAAGACACAGACGAGGCCAAGAGUGGUCACAGCUGAGGCCUUCAAGGUUCACAGAUGGGAAAGUCUGACUUCAGAAGACUUGGUGGUUUGUUGAGGCAACAUGGCAGCCGAGUGUCAGCGCUCAAGUCUCCACAUUUAACUAAGCCUUGCAGCCACCUCUGUUGGGGUCCUCACUUCUUCCCCAGGAUGAAACAUGAGGCCAAUAUUGAAGACAGAAGAUGGGAGAGUUUUCCAUGCACUCCCUGGUGGGGUGGGGUUCUCUGGUAAGUCCUCCUCUCCCCCCAGAGCCCCGCUGU
rnacentral:lncRNA from 1 species